ensembl:snoRNA
GCUCCACUCCCUGUUAAUGUGUAGAGGCAGAGCAAAAGGGUUCUGGCCCUCCUGGCCGCAUGUGUUUGGUCCCAGCAGAUUCUGGUUCACCAGUUCUAUUCUUGAACACCAGGACACUU